rnacentral:rRNA from 1 species
UACAGAGGUCUCAAGCGUUGUUCGGAUUUAUUGGGCGUAAAGGGUGCGUAGGCGGUGGGGUUAGUUGGAUGUGAAAUGCCACGGCUCAACCGCGGCACGGCAUUCAAUACUGCCCUGCUAGAGCACUAGUGAGGAGGCUGGAAUUUACGGUGUAGCAGUGAAAUGCGUAGAUAUCGUAAGGAACACCAGUGGCGAAAGCGAGCCUCUAGAUAGUUUGCUGACGCUGAGGCACGAAAGCCAGGGGAGCAAACGGG